rnacentral:tRNA from 1 species
UGCCGGGUCGUCUAACGGUAGGACAGCGGCCUUUGGAGCCGUUAAUCUUGGUCCGAAUCCAAGCCCGGCAG